UAGUUUUAUUAAUUCUCGCUGGCCCCCAUCUGUGCUUUCGACUGGAUUCAGAACUCAGUUUAUCUUCCAGGCUCCCUGUCUUUGGGUCUUGAUCACCACAGAGGGGAAGGGGAGAAUCCAGAGAUAAAAUGUGAGACUGAAACUGUUUUAAAGAAGCAUACAAGAAAGAAGCACACACUUUAUUAGGGAGAUGUUGAUGAGAUGCUUACAACCCGCCCGCCACCCCCCAGCCCCAGCUAGGCCAUCUGGCAGGUACCGCCCGUGCGCCAGGCAUCGUUUUCAAAUUGCAAGACCGAAAUCCAAUCAACCGAAAUAAUUUCUUAGGAAGAUAAGCUUGCAACACGUGCAAUAAUGAAAAAAUUUAACUAGCAUUAAAAAUAUUCAGGAAUGUCGAGCAAUUACCACCUGGCCGCAGUCACAGGACAGAAGACGGAAUAAAUGGGCACGCACCAAAGGUUUAUAUUAAAGUGUAAGUUUCAGCCCCUCAGUAUAUUUAAGGGAGGCUGCUCUGCAGAGGAAACCUCUGCCUUCUCGGCGAGGGAGUUUCCGAGCUACCUUAACUGGGGCGCAACGCAGCCUUCCGCCACCAGAGGCAGCGGGCGUCUGCGGCCUGUCAAAAACUGGCGCUUUUUUCCUCCCCUUUCCGUGGAGAGACUAUCAACUCCAUCUGUCACAAAAAUUAAGGCUAAAUCUCCUCUCCAGAAGCAGAGGGAGCCGGGGCUCCGACGCGCUCAGCGUCGGGCUGUCUGCCUCUCCCUAGAGGCCAAGUGAAUUUGAAAUGGCAAAAGUCACAGCCGGAGGCCCAGCACUAGGAGAUUCCUCCGGCUGCGGGAAAUCUUCCUGUACCUGCUGAAGCUGCUGCGUUCCUCAGAGGCGCUUGGUCUGCCGUGGGAAGCUGCACCUCUGCAGUCCCCAAAACCAAAAUCAAACCUUAAAAGAGCCAGACUGAGGUAAGGCGGACCGUCUUGCUCUGAUUUGAGUAUUGGUAGACAAACAGCAAUAUAAAUCGAUACUAAAAAAAUCCAGAAAGGCUGCAACUUCAUGGCACAUCAAAACAACCAUAUCCCUGGCUCUCUGUCUCUUUUUUUUUCUCUAUUAUUUGGAGUUGUCCUCUCAGUCCGGCCUGGAGGACUUGGACAACUCAGACACCUUCUCUGUGUCUGGGAUCCCUCCACAGAAGCCAGUCACCACGUAAGACAUCUGGACCACCUUCAGACUCGCAUGCUGUGAGGAAGCCCAUGCUUACUAUGUGUAGAGGAUACAUGGAGAAGGAAAGAGAUGCCUGGCCAGCUCCCUGCUGUUUCAGCCAUGUGAGUGAAGAAGGCACCAGACUUGUGAGUGGAGACACUAACUUGGAUGUCCAGCCCAGCUGAACCUUCAGGUGACUCCAGCUCUAGCUGCCAUCCUACUGAAGACACAUGAGAGAGACCCCAAGCCAGGGUCAAGAUCAGCGUGAAGCAAGUGAGGCAUUUUGGUGCAAAAUGUAAGGAGGCAUUGACCUUCAUAAUUGGGCUCCAAGACUCCAAGAUUUGUGGCAGAUACUGCAUGGAAACCAAGCACCAUCUACUCUAGAAUUCUACAUUAGACUUUGUAUCCUGAAGGUUUACCUCAUUCUUCACAAAAGUCUUCCCUUUGUCUGUUGCCUUCUUAAGAAGAAUUAAUUCUUGGGAACAAGAUAGAAGGAUGGGAACCUCAUGUAGAAGGAAAUCCCUUUCAUGCACAGUAAAGCAGGGUCAUUCUCCCAGCUAAUGAUCUGGAGCCUCCUCCUGAACCCCAGCUUUGCUUAUAUCUUCGGCAAGGACCAUCUUCGCAUCUUUGAGCCCUAUUAAUUCCAUCUAAGAAAAAUGUUGUUCACAUUCACCCUCCCUGUCUUCUCAUGUCCUGGUUUCUUCAAGGUUUUCUUCAUUGCUGAAUACCAGGUCUUUCCCAACUCUCCUCCAAACCAGGGAUUGUAAACCAGAGAAGCAUCUCUAAAGGACUCGGGAGCUUUUUCAAAAUACAUAUGCCUGUGCCAACUUCAUUACACUUGAAUUCUUCCCCAGGGGCCAAGGAAUGUGUACUAUGGAAAAAAACAAACACACACACAAUGGCAUAUUUCUGCCUCAACCACUCAACAUCAGUGGUUGCUAGAUUUUGAGAUUUCAAAGAUCCGUUUAUUUUCAAAAAAAAUCUGGAAUAUCUUUUAAAAAAAGAUGCCAACUUUUUAUUUUAUCAAGCAUUAACAAACAAACAAACCUACUACUACCAUCUGUUAACACCAGUGUCUUAUUAAAUAAAGAGGAUUUGAAACCCCAAAGGCAGAGAAAGAAUAACCAGAGAAUACAGGCGAGUUGAAUACAUUUAGAUAUUUAAAGGACUUACUAUAUUGUCCUAUUUUUUUUUUUUUCAUUUUAACUGAAUUUACGACACAGGGGAAACUUCUUCAGAAACUUUUGCAUCUUCAGACAGCAUUUUGGAAUAACUACUCUAAAGCAAUCCUCCAUGCUGAUGUUAAAUGAGUCGGAUGAAAUCACUACUCCACUUAAAAAUUUAUAGUGACUCCUCAGGAAAAAGUCCAAGGUCACUACCAGUGUUACAGCAGUUUGAGGUCUGGUGCAGUGGCUCAUUCCUGUAAUUCCAGAACUUUGAGAGGCCUAGGCAAGAAGAUCACUAGAGCCAGGAGUUUGAGGCCAGCCUAGGCAACAUCGCGAGACCCCAUCUCUACCAAAGAACACCCACAAAAAUUAGCCAGACAUGGUGAUGCGUGCCUAUAAUUCUAGCUACUCAGGAGGCUGUGGAGGGAGGACAAAAAUUAGCCAGACAUGGUGAUGCGUGCCUAUAAUUCUAGCUACUCAGGAGGCUGGGGAGGGAGGAUCACUUGAGCCCAGGAGGUUAAGGCUACAGUGAGCUAUGAUCACCACUGCACUCCAGCCUGGAUGACAGAGCAAGACCCUGUCUCAAAAAAAAAAACAAAAAAAAAAACGCAGUUCGAAAGACCCAUUCCAAAUACUUAACCCCAUCUAUUCUUGCCUGUGCCCCCAAACACAAACGUAUAUGUGCACACACACAUGCACUCACAUACACAUACAUAUGAUGCAUGUACUCACAUACAUAUAUGGAUGUACACGUGCACACUCAUGCAGGCACACACAGGCACAACAUAUACCCAUGCAUGCACUCACGCAUACUCAUUCGUGCACACACAUACACACAAACUGGAAUUUCUCUUCUGAGUAUCCACCAUGGCAUCUCCAUCCUGCCCUUCUCCGGGGACUUUGGUAUGUUGGCCUCUUUAGCAGAGAAAUGCUUCUGUCCCCCAGCUUUAAGGGAUUACAAGAGAAAGUCUCCCUUUUGACGCUCUACUCCUGGAUAAUACAUGUAAAGUCUCACCGCCCCCUUUCUAUGUGCACAUACUCUUUGUAACUGUAGUCAACGCUGAGAAAUCCAUGUUUGUUGCUUAAGCCACCCAGUCUAUGAUAUUCUGUUAUAGCAGCCCAAACUAAGAUAGUGGAUGAAAAAGACAAAUUUUUCUAGUAAACAAAGAGCUCUUAGAAAUUUACAGCAAAAGGGCCAGGCACGGUGACUCACGCCUGUAAUCCCACCACUUUGGGAGGCUGAGGCAGACGGAUCACUUGAGGUCAGGAGUUCGAGACCAGCCUGGCCAACAUGGCGAAACCCCAUCUUUACUAAAAAAAAGAAAAAAUACGAAAAUUAGCCAGGCUUGGUGGCAGGUGCCUGUAAUCCCAGCUACUCGGGAGGCUGAAGCAGGAGGAUUGCUUGAACCCGGGAGGUGGAGGUUGCAGUGAGCUGAGAUUUUGCCACACCUCAGCCUGGGCGAUAGAGCAAGACUCAGUCUCAAAACAAAACAAAACAAAACAAAACAAAACAAAACAAAACAAAAAAAAACAGGAAAAGGACAAACCAAGGGAAAAUGGGUGAAAGAUAGAAACAGACAAUUCACAGAAGCAUAAAUCCAAAUUGUCAGCAAACAAGUGAAAAAAUGUUUAAAUUAACUAGUAGUUAGAUGAAAAGAAAUUAGAAAACAAUGAGAUAUUACUUUAACACUCCAUAGACCGACUAAAAUGUGAAAGCACUUUGACAGCCAGUUCUUAUAAAGAUACCUUCAAAAGUUGCUUGUGUAAAUGUGAAAUGUUGGAUUCUUUUUUGGCAAUACCUUUAAAAUGUAAAAUACAAAUACUGUUUGGCCCAACCCAUUCCUGAGAAUCUUUCCAAUAAUAAUAAAUACUGAUAAGGAAGGACACUAUCUGCAUUCUAGCCAUUCCAAUAGAAAUAAUUACUUUUUUCCUCCAAAAGUUCUAGCAAAAGUUUUGGAACCUCAAUUGAUCUGGGCCAUGUGCCCAUGUACCUUAGUGAAAGAGAUGAGAAAGAGAGAGAGAGAAAGAGAGAGAGAGAGAGAAAAAGAGAGAGAGCACUUCCUGAAGGAAAACCAACGCUGUCAUGAUGAGAAAAAUCAGCCGCUACACCAGGGCUCCACAAAUGUGAUCCAGUGCUUUGUAGUGGUCCCUGAUGAGAUGGACCACUCAGCUCAUUAGAGCAGGCAUUUGAAUACUUUUAUAGCUAUCUCAUAGAGUAAUAUGAUGUCAGUUGAAGCUAAUAAUAAAAUUUGAGGCUUCUGUUUUGUAGGUAUUCUUUUUUCUAGUAACUUCAAAAAUUUUGUUUUACAAACUAUCUAUGAUAGACAAAAAAAUUCUGCAGUUUCAGAACAGACAAUUUGAGAAGCACUGUGAAAUAUAUACAUUAAAAUACAAAAAAGAAAUGGAUACUGGUUAUUUUCUUUGGUUUUAGAGGUAAAUAAGUUGUCUGGCACAGGAACAUAAGGAUUUGGCGCUGUGUAAAGAUUAAUAAAAAUGGAAGGAACAAACUUCUAAUUCUUCAGAGAACAUGGAUAACAACUCCAAGAUGCAAAAUGACAACACGAUCCCGCUUUCACUGAUGAGUGUAUCAACAGAGACAGAGCAGCUGUUUAACAUCAUCAGCCUACUGUUCUCUAUGGAGCAGAAAACACACCCCCUCAUCAUUGCUUUGGAACUGGGGAGAUCAAGAUCCUGGCUCAGUUUCAAUAUCUAAUAACAUGAGGAAAUACCCACAAAAUUAGUAGGAGCUCCAAUUAUCAGGAAACUCGACUUUCAUACUUUUUGAAAAGAGAUAUUAAUGAAAUAGAGACUUAAACCCAUUGGCAAGAUACAACAUAGAACAUUUGAGGCACAACAUGCUUCAACCUCAGUGGAUUGCAGUUAGCCAGUUAGCAGUACAACGAUAUUUCUACCAAGAGCAUUUUUUCCCCCAAGAGAGUACCUUGGGCACAUUUGGGCAUUACCUACUAAAUUCUCCAAUAAUUGGGGCCGAUUCUACAAUAUGCGUAGUUAGUAUGUUUCAAAGUCGUGCUAGGCCUUAUUUCCAAAUCUAGCUUCUCACUACUGAAAUUAAGAAGAAACUUUUGGCUGGGUGCUGUGGCUCAUGCAUGUAAUCCCAGCACUUUGGGUGGCCGAGGCAGGCAGAUCACGAGGUCAGGAGAUCAAGACCAUCCUGGCCAACAUGGUGAAACCCCAUCUCUACUAAAAGUACAAAAAUUAGCUGGGCGUAGUGGUGCAUGCCUGUAAUCCCAGCUACUCAGGAGGCUGAGGCAAGAGAAGCACUUGAACCAGGGAGUCUGAAGUUGCAGUGAGCUAAGAUGAAACCACUGCACUCCAUCCAGCCUGGUAAUAGAGCAAAACUCUGUCUCAAAAAAAAAAAAAAAAAAAGAAACUUUUAAAUAAUUUAACUCUUUCAUAAAUCUAGAUAAAUUGUUUUCUAAAUAAAAAUAACAUAGUUUGUAAGUGAACUUAUCAAAUGCCUCAAAAGUCUGCUUUUUAUCUUGUGAGGAUUUAUAUAAAGACAAUAGACAUCCCAAAAAAACCUAUCCACAGGAAAAAAAAAAUCUAGCAACAAGCUUGUACAAAAUUUGUAAGUUUCAGGUUAAUGCUUCUCUAGACAAUUUGAGAAAAGUACUACAAUUGCUUACAUAUUUACUGCUGAAAAUCUGUAAUUGUCAUAAAUGUCUUGGGAAAAAUCUGUAAUCUUAUUGAUAAAGAUUACAAGCCAUCUAAUUCGUUUUAAUGAAAUAUAUAUCCUAGGACUUCAUCAAACACCUCAUUGAUGAGUUCACACUUUUCCUAAAUUUUAAAUUUAUAUGCACACUUACCUGCUCAUUUCUCACUGAAUUUGAUUCAGUUGAAUCCAACAGAUGUUUAUUGAGUUCCCACUGUAUGUUCUAGGAAGGCAAAUAAUGUUUUCUUCAAGUCUUCCAUCUCUGUUCCUCUUUUCUUUCUUUAUUACUAGACUUUUUUUAAAAAGCACUUUUAGUUUUAAGGCAAUUUUAGAAAAAUUGAUUGGAAAGUACAGAGGGUUCCCGCACAAUUCCUACUCCCCCCACCUGUUUCCUCUAUUAUUUACAUUCUGUGUUAUAUUACUGUGGCACACUCGUUACAACUGAUGAACCAAUACUGGUAUUUUAUUAUUAACUAAAGUCUUCGAUUUACAUUAGUUCCUUCUUAGUGUUGUUCAUUCUAUGCAUUUUGACAAAUGUAUAAUGUCAUGUAUUCACUAUUAGAAUAUCAUACAGAGUUUCAUCUCCCUAAAUUCCCUGGAAGCAUUCUGUAUUAACCUAGAAGGGAUCUUAAAUCAAAUUUUUUCGUUUACAGCUUCACUUCUUAAAGCUUCUGGAUCUAGUAUUUCUUUUUUGCCCAUUAUUUAAAAAAUUAAGUGAGAUUUUGCAUGCCAUUUGAAUUCAAAAGUUGGUCUCUCUGUGGUACACAUCUCCUCAAAUGAUUAACUAUUUAUGUUGAAAUAGUACUUCUUAUAAUUCAGUUAUCCAUCCGGAAAUAUUUCUUGAUUACCUGCCCUGGGCCAAGCAUUCUGGUCUGUUUUCUCUUGAUUAGUGAAGUUUGUGAUAGGUGACCUUAUGUAACAUAUCUUUGUUUCACUCAUAGACAUACAUUUAAUUAUCAAAAUCCUUUACACAUAUAUAGUACAAAAUGCAAAAGAAUUUUUUUUUAUUGUAUAAUUUUAGCAAGCUUCCACUUAACCUUUGCACCAAGACUGCCACUUCCUUUAGCCACUGUUAUCAAUUUCUGGCAUGCAUUUCCAGAGAUAUUACAUGUAUACACAUAUAUAAGAAUCUUUUUAAAAACAACAAUCUUUGCCUUGUUUUUUUACUUAACAGUAUAUUUUGGGCACUGUUCCAUGUCACUUUGUAAAAAGCUGAUGUAUUCCUUGCUUAUCCUUUUUGAUGAGUAUGUAGCGUUCUGCUUUUGAGUGUUCCAUAAAUUAUUUAAGCAGUCCCUUAGUCCCUUAUUGUUGAAUAUUUAAAUUCAAAUUCUUUGUUAUUCCAGUGUGGCAAUGAAUAUUCUUGCACUUUUGUCAUCUCAUAAAUAUUUUAAUGCAGCCAUAGUUUACAUUCGUAGAAGUGGAAUUACUGAGUCAAAGAGGAGGUUCAUUUUAAACUGUGCUAGAUCAAUUGUUCUAUCUAUGUAUCUCUGAUAGGUCCAUUAUUCCCUGUAGAAGUUGUGCCAGUGUAUGAGAGUGUUUCCUAAUAUCAUCACCAACAUUACAUGUUAUUAUUAAGCUUUUGGAUCUUUGCCAAUCUGAUAAGUGAAAAUUUAUGCCAUUGUAGCUUUAAUUUUAAUUUAUCUUAUUAUAUGUAAGUCAUACAUUAUUAUUUAAGUCCUCAGGAAGUUAAUAAAGUAAAGACUGAAUACAUUUAACUGCAAGGAGGUUAGGUGAUCCAACAUCAUCCAACUCAUAAGUGAGGGCACCCAGAAAGUGCUCUCCCAAGCCCCUGUCCUCUGUCAUCCCCCACCUCCCUGUACUAUAUAGCACAGUGCCAACAGGCUUGGUUAAAGGUUUGCAUUUUCCUCCACUUGAUCAGUAAUUGUCAAAAAAUUAUUACUUUUUAUGAAAAGGAAUAAGUUUUCUUACUAAAAUGGCAAAAUCAGUUAAUUCUGAAGAAUCCUCCCAGAUUUCAUUUAAAAUUUUAGGAAAUCCCUUCCCUCUCACUAGAGACAUACUAGAAAAAAAAAUCAACAUUUUUUAUCUAGAUAAUCACUGAAUGACUGACAUAAAAUAUCUGGACUUCUGUUUGAGAUGAAAUUAUCCUAUUAUUGAUGGGACAUAUUUGAGAAACAAAGCUUCGCUCUUUCCUCCCUAACUUCCUGCUCUGAAACACCUGUUUCCAUUCUGUAUCUGACCAAACUCGGAGCAUUGAGUUUCCAUACACUAUGGAACCCUGAGAAUCUUGUGGUUUCUGAGCAGCCAGUGAAGACUUUGCUUUCCUUUGCAUUUGUUGUGUUUGUCAGGUAGAGGCUUGUCUCUGGACCUAAGCUGUCUACUGCCUCACUGUCACAGCCAGUUUGCUGCUCUAAGAGGGUUAAUUGCCCUUUCUUGUACCCUCAAAUCCACUCUUGACCCUUGGUUUGGAAGGAAGGAAAGAGACAGAGCCAUAUGGAAGCAAGAAGGUUUCCUAUGGUCCCAGGGCAGAGCAGUUUGUGGUAGUUUAACAAUUAUUAAACACAUUAACAAAGUGACCAAAUGAACCAACUUUCUGGAACAGACGUUAUGUCAAUCUUGAAUUAUGCAUUUUUGCUGUUGUUAUUCUUUAUUCAUCGAACAAAUAUUGCACACCAGCCGGGCGCGGUGGCUCAAGCCUGUAAUCCCAGCACUUUGGGAGGCGGAGGCAGGCGAAUCAUGAGGUCCGGAUAUCGAGACCAUCCUGGCUAACACAGUGAAACCCCGUCUGUACUAAAAAUCCAAAAAAAAAGCCGGGUUCCGUGGCAGGCGCUUGUAGUCCCAGCUACUCAGGAGGCUGAGGCAGGAGAAUGGCGUGAACGCGGGAGGAGGAGCUUGCAGUGAGCCGAGAUCGCGCCACUGCACUCCCAUCUGGGCAACAGAGCGAGACACUGUCUCAGAAAAAAAAAAAAAAAAUUGCACACCAGUUUGUGUCAGAAGCUGGUCUCUGUUCUACAGGUCUAGCAAUAACUAACAGGAGGAAAUGCCUCCUCGUAGUUCAUUUUAUCCAAUGGCUCUCAUAAUUUUCUUUCCCCAUUUUCAUGGUAAAUCUGAGAACUGAGUGACCUAUCAUUACAAAAGCGGA
rnacentral:lncRNA from 1 species